rnacentral:rRNA from 1 species
UCGAGCGGUAAGGCCCUUCGGGGUACACGAGCGGCGAACGGGUGAGUAACACGUGGGUGAUCUGCCUUGGACUCUGGGAUAAGCCUGGGAAACUGGGUCUAAUACCGGAUAUGACCACGUACUGGAUGGUGUGGGGUGGAAAGAUUUAUCGGUGCGAGAUGGGCCCGCGGCCUAUCAGCUUGGUGGUGGGGUAAUGGCCUACCAAGGCGACCACCGGUAGCCGGCCUGAAAGGGCGACCGGCCACCCUGGGACUGAAACACGGCCCAGACUCCUACGGGAGGCAGCAGUGGGGAAUAUUGGACAAUGGGCGGAAGCCUGAUGCAGCGACCCCCCGUGAGGGAUGACGGCCUUCGGGUUGUAAACCUCUUUCCACAGGGACCAAGCGUGAGUGACGGUACCUGGAGAAAAAGCACCGGCCAACUACCUGCCAGCAGCCGCGGUAAUACCUAAGGUGGGAGCGUUGUCCGGAAUUACUGGGCGUAAAGAGCUUGGAAGCGGUUCGUCCCGUCCAUUGGGAAAACUUGCAGCUCAACUGCAAGCUUGCAGUCGAUACGGGCGGACUAGAGUACUUCAGGGGAGACUGGAAUUCCUGGUGUAGCGGUGAAAUGCGCAGAUAUCAGGAGGAACACCGGUGGCGAAGGCGGGUCUCUGGGAAGUAACUGACGCUGAGAAGCGAAAGCGUGGGUAGCGAACAGGAUUAGAUACCCUGGUAGUCCACGCCGUAAACGGUGGGUACUAGGUGUGGGUUUCCUUCCACGGGAUCCGUGCCGUAGCUAACGCAUUAAGUACCCCGCCUGGGGAGUACGGCCGCAAGGCUAAAACUCAAAGGAAUUGACGGGGGCCCGCACAAGCGGCGGAGCAUGUGGAUUAAUUCGAUGCAACGCGAAGAACCUUACCUGGGUUUGACAUACACCAGAAAGCUGCAGAGAUGUAGCCCCCCUUGUGGUUGGUGUACAGGUGGUGCAUGGCUGUCGUCAGCUCGUGUCGUGAGAUGUUGGGUUAAGUCCCGCAACGAGCGCAACCCUUAUCUUAUGUUGCCAGCGCGUAAUGGCGGGGACUCGUGAGAGACUGCCGGGGUCAACUCGGAGGAAGGUGGGGACGACGUCAAGUCAUCAUGCCCCUUAUGUCCAGGGCUUCACACAUGCUACAAUGGCCAGUACAGAGGGCUGCGAUACCGUGAGGUGGAGCGAAUCCCUUAAAGCUGGUCUCAGUUCGGAUCGGGGUCUGCAACUCGACCCCGUGAAGUUGGAGUCGCUAGUAAUCGCAGAUCAGCAACGCUGCGGUGAAUACGUUCCCGGGCCUUGUACACACCGCCCGUCACGUCAUGAAAGUCGGUAACACCCGAAGCCGGUGGCCUAACCCUUG